rnacentral:lncRNA from 1 species
AGGACCGAGGGAGCUGGAUCUCUGCUCCCAGCAUCACAGAUUGUGGGGUGUCACACUCAUGUCGUCAGGCUCUGUGGGUGGCAUGUGCCUUCACCUGCUGAACCUUCUUACUGGCUUUGUGAAUCAGAUAAGGAAUAAUAAAAAUAAUACUUUUAUAAUAUGAUUUUCUUUUACUAAGGAUCAUAGUGGUUCACUAUAUGCGUAUGUCAUGAUUAAAUUACUUUCUACAUUUUAAACAAGUAUUUAAUUUUAAAGUUUAAUUGAAAAUUGUUGAAUCACCUUCAUUGCGUGUGUGCCGUAUGCACCUGUGGAGAUGAGAGGAGGCCCUCAGGAGGCACGGCUCCUGCCACAUGAGUCUGGACAUGGAACUCGGGCACCCGUCAGGUUAGGCAGCAAGUGUCUUCACUUGCUAAGCCAUCUCAUUGGCCCUAUUAAUUUUUGUUAUUGUAAAAGUGUGACUAGUAAAUCUUGAUACUUAAUUCUGGUAUCUCUUAAAUAUAUAUUCCUUGAAGUUCAAGAAAUUUAUAAGUUGGGAGGUAGAUAUGUAUGUUUUUAAGAUUUUUUGUUGUAAGAGUCACCAUUAAGUUUUACUUGGAAGUUUUUUAAAGGGGAACUUUAGUGGUUCUUCUAGUCUUUCGGGGGCUCCUUUACUGAAGACUUUAAGGUGAAUCGAACCGCUGGAGUCUAGCUGAAUGGCAUAGAAGUGUGUAGCUGCUCUUCUUGUCUCUGCUCUUUUGGACUCCACCAUGAAUUAAUUAACAACAGUCUGUCCUGACACUGCUUUUUACAGAAAAGCACAGCCACAUGGAGCAGAGUAAAGGUUAUCAAGAGAUGGGCAAAAUAAUGCCAUCACGUGAGGAUCCUUCAG